rnacentral:ncRNA from 1 species
CCCGUGAACCUUUACUAUAGCUUCACACUGAACGUUGAGUUCGUCUGUGUAGGAUAGGUGGGAGGCUGUGAAACCAGGACGCCAGUUCUGGUGGAGCCAUCCUUGAAAUACCACCCUGUCGUGCUUGACGUUCUAACCUGGGCCCGUAAUCCGGGUCGGGGACCGUGUGUGGUGGGUAGUUUGACUGGGGCGGUCUCCUCCCAAAGUGUAACGGAGGAGCACGAAGGUACGCUCAGCGCGGUCGGACAUCGCGCACUGUGUGCAAAGGCAUAAGCGUGCUUGACUGCAAGAUCGACGGAUCAAGCAGGUACGAAAGUAGGUCUUAGUGAUCCGGUGGUUCUGUAUGGAAGGGCCAUCGCUCAACGGAUAAAAGGUACUCCGGGGAUAACAGGCUGAUACCGCCCAAGAGUUCAUAUCGACGGCGGUGUUUGGCACCUCGAUGUCGGCUCAUCACAUCCUGGGGCUGUAGUCGGUCCCAAGGGUAUGGCUGUUCGCCAUUUAAAGUGGUACGCGAGCUGGGUUCAGAACGUCGUGAGACAGUUCGGUCCCUAUCUGCCAUGGGCGUUGGAGAUUUGAGAGGGGCUGCUCCUAGUACGAGAGGACCGGAGUGGACGAACCCCUGGUGUUCCGGUUGUCACGCCAGUGGCACUGCCGGGUAGCUACGUUCGGAAGCGAUAACCGCUGAAAGCAUCUAAGCGGGAAGCGCGCCUCAAGAUGAGAUCUCCCGGGAGCUUGACUCCCCUGAAGGAACCAUCAAGACCAGGUGGUUGAUAGGCUGGGUGUGUAAGU